rnacentral:piRNA from 1 species
UUGCCUGAUUGUGUCUUCAUUCCCUAAACU